UGCGUAGGCGGUGCCCUAAGUCUGUUGUGAAAUCUCCCGGCUUAACUGGGAGGGUGCGGUGGAAACUGGGGUGCUUGAGAGUGGGAGAGGUUAGCGGAAUUCCUGGUGUAGCGGUGAAAUGCGUAGAUAUCAGGAGGAACACCGGUGGUGUAGACGGCUGACUGGACCACGACUGACGCUGAGGCACGAAAGCGUGGGUAGCAAACA
rnacentral:rRNA from 1 species